rnacentral:lncRNA from 1 species
GUUUUGGGGCUGUAGCGGAGGAUGUUUGGAGUUCCUCUCUCUUACAAAGUCUGGUAAGACCCCAUUUGCAAUAAAAUAGGACGUAAGUCCAUCACUGUGCAGUUAGGCAGAUGGCUGUACAUGUGAGACAGUGGAGGAGUCUCUCAGUGCUAAACCUAACAAGGCUUAGACUUCCCAACACCUUGGUGAGUAGAGCAAUGUCAAUGCACUGUAAUUACACGCAGGAGUAUCUGAGGGUCUGAGAAAGAGGUGCGAUGUCUCUACUAUUUCUGGCGCUGAUUCUUGGUGUUUCUUCCAUUUGCAGACCCUCUGUGCCAUUUUCUGAUGAGAAAACCCACCCCUGAGGGCACAAUUGAUAUUAAUGUGGUGUAAAUGACAGAUGAAAUGACAGGAAUUCAGCUCCUUCAAGUGCUGGAGUUGCAAUGAGAUUCUGCUGGGAGAGCCUGACAGGACAUUCAGUUGGUACAAAGCAGAUCUGUACAGACCAUCGCUCCAUCGCUCCAGUACAGAAGUGUCUUGUCACAGUAGUGAAGGACUGUCACAUCUUGCACACCAUGUUAUUUUCAUUGCCAGCAUAGCGAGUAGAAAAGCGUCACAACCGAGUUUCCUCUUGGCAGGAUUUAUAUUGCCUAAUUUUAAAUAUCUACAGCGUAGAUGUCAAAGUAAGAGCUCAUUAUCCAAAGUCGCCG